GUGUCAAAUUUGUGUCAUAUAGGGAUGUUAAAGAAACAUUUUAGUUUCAGAUAACAAUAGUAUCUAAACUCCCCACACGCACACCCAAACAAGAACACAGAUAACAAACCCAAACAAGAACACAGAUAACAAAAGACUGGAUCUGUUAUUGAUUUCUCUUCUCAAUGUACACACUCCAACAGAGUCCUGUCUUUAUAUGAACUCUUUUCCCGCGCCUCUCCUAACUGCCUAACUGUUAUUAAAGUUAGGUUUCUCCUUCUCAUUUAACUCUUCUUUUUCCCUCAUAAACCCUCCAUACUCUAUCAGCUAAUAAUAAGGAAGGAAGGAGAAGUUUCGUUGGUUGUGUUGUGCGUGUUUUGGUCCUUGAAAGUAAACCAGAAGAGGAAUGUGAUGUGAAAAUAUAUGGAGACAGAAGAGAAAAUUGGUCCUCUUACGUUGUCACCAUCCUAAUUAAUAACGUACCGAAAAAGAUCUCAGUGGUCACUUUCAAAUUUCAACCAACUAAGUAAAUACAUCUUAUCUUAUCCUAUUUCCUUGUCUUAUCAUGUUCUAUUUCCCUAUUUCUUUAUCUUAUCAUGUUCUAUUUCCCUAAUUAGUUUAGAUUAUGAUCAGUAUCAAUAGAAAUUAUUGGUAUAUGUUUUAUCAGCAUCUCAUCAAUACAUUACAAUUUACAAUACAUCUUGGUCUCAUAAACAAAUUUAAAAAAGAAUCAUAAUGUAAAAGGAAAAAUAAACCAUACUUGAUAGUUUGGGCAAAGAAUUAUUUGUGAAAGGUCUCAAUGGGGAAAAGAGCUAUAAGAGGAAGAAAGGGUUGUGGUUGUAGAGGGAAAACAGGAGACAACUCAUCAAUUUUAGUAGAUAUUGGAGAGCCCAGAGGCUUGUUCACAACUGCAAAUAUUAUUGGAAAUUUUCAAAUUAAGUCAAAAGCUGAAAUGCAAAAUGAAGAGCUUAAUUCUUGUUCUUUUGAAUUAAGGCUGACAUUGUAGUCACUUAAUCCUGAAUUGAUGACAUUGAAUUCUCUAAUUUUUAGAGUGAAUCCACCAAAGAAACCAGUGUUGCUGCAAGAACAAGUGUUAUUCUCAUCAAAUUAAGUUUAAACUUUGGUUAAUUUGAAGAAAUAUUAAGAAGAGAAGAGAUGAAUUUGAAUGGCGGAAACAAUAUCAAAUAGAAAAUAAGAAUUCAAAUCAAAAUUAGCUGUUGAAAAUGAAAUUGGAGAAACAUUCAAGAUCCAUAGAAAAACUCCAACAAUUCUAUAAAUUUUCCCACGAAUCAUCAUUAUUUUCAUCUACCAUAAGCAAGAUAACAAGACAAAACUGUUAUCAGUAAUAGUGUCAUCAUAUAUCUGUAAGUUAUUAUAAUGUUCGGUAAGACCAACACUCCUCGUCAACUUAAGUAUGAAUAGUAAAUUCAAACUCGGAGAAGUGCAUUCGUUACCUCAAGAUCAAGCGCCCAUAGUUUUUUUUCUCAUAUAAUUCGAGUGAUCAUACUUCUUCGCAUUUCGCAACCGCGCCACACAUUCCUCAGCUUCUGGCUUCCUUCAAACAAAACAGUUACAUCGAUGGUUAAGGAACAAAGAACAAGAAUAAAUAAAUAAAUAGAACAGAUAGUUUUUUUUUUUUCUUUUUCGCGAUUGUUUAAUUACUCGAACGAUUACACGACAUGCACGCCGUGAAAUUCGAUCGUGAAGGCCGGAGGGAACCAGGUGGAGAAUCUAAAGGUGAUGCGAUCGACGGUGAGGUCCUUGAAGAACAGGAAUGCCGAAGUGUCGAAGAGGCGGUUGAGAGAGGAAACGUCGAAGCUGAGGUUGGUAAAAACGGCAAGAGAGUGGAGGAAUCCUAAUUGUAGAUCGAGGUGAGACUCUUCUCGGAGCCAUGGCUGAAGCACAAAAAUUCUUGUUUCGUUAUGAAAAUUGCGGGAAAAAAAGAAAAAGAAAAGAGAAGAGAAGAGAAAGUAUUGCGCGAAAAGGAGACAUUCUAUACGUGUUCUAAUAUUUAACCGGUAUAAAUCAAUAAUUUAUACAUGAUAUAAUAUUAUUAGGUAUAAAAAAAGAUUUUUAUACGUAUAUUUGUUAUAAUCCAUAUAAAAAAGUUUUUUUCUAUUUAUAAAAUUAUCACUAUGCGACUAGUACAAAAUGUAUUUUUUAUAACAAUUUUUUAUACAAGUUAAAAUUCAUCAAUAUAAAACACAAUAUGAAUACGAUGACAAAAUCUCGCAGAGUGAACCCCGCAGGCCUUCGUCGCUCAGGUUAUUUAAUCUCUACACUUCCAUUCAGGGUUUCAAUCUGAGGUUCCACAUUCUCAAUUCUGCUAUCGCUACCUGUUACGGUAACCUUUUUAGUUGUUAAUUAAUGUUGAAAAUAGACAUUUUUACGUCAAUUAACGUUUGAAAAUAAUUAUUUUUUAUGUCAAUUAAUCUUUGAAAUGACCAGUUUUGACAUUAAUUAACGACUCCCGAUAUGAAGUUGGUGUUUUUUUUAACGUCAUAGCCUAUUUUUAUAUUAAUAUGUGUUUAUUUCUGUGUGUCAUUAUUUACGUGUUUUUGUAUUUGUAUGUGUUUUUGUGGGUUUAAGUUUAUGUGCGGGUUUGUAUGUAUAUGUGUGAGUCGGUGGAUAGUAGUAUACUUUAUAAUAAUUUUAAAUAAAAUAAAAUUAUUCAAAAUAUUUUCUAAAAUAUUUUAUUUUAAUAUAUUAUUACUUCUUAUAUAAAUUUUCAUUUGAUAAUAAUUUUUUAUUUUAAUUUAAAACUAUUAAAAUUCGAACUUAUAUUUUAACAAUUAGUUGUAUAUAAAAUAAGUUUUUAAAAUUUAUUUUAAAAGUGAUUAAUUUUAAUACAAACUUUUAUUUAUAUUUUACUUUUUUUCUCAUCCACACAAUCUUUAUCUCUUUUCUUACUUUUUCUUUAAUUGAAAUAAAGUUUUGAAGUUGCAUGAUUGUUUUGGCAUUAGACUCCGUGCACGUCAUGAGUAAAGUGGUUCUUCGUGUAACACAAGUUAUUUUUAUAGUUUUUUCUAAGAUUUAAACUAUAUGUUGGUCUUCAUAUUUGUUGGUGAAUUUCAUAUGAGUUCUCGUUUUUUGAUCUGAUUCAAUUGAAUCCAUAUAUUUGUAAAAUUAAGCCAAUUAAGCUUUGUUCGUUAACUUUUCAGAAACAACGUUAAAAUGUGAUGAUAGUGAAUAUGAUGAGAUGAAUAUUUUAUUAAGUGGAAAUAAUUAAAUUAUGACAUGAAAUUUAGUAAAAUAAAAAAAAAUUGAAAAAAAAAUAGAGACUAUAGUAGCAUUCUUAUUCUAAAAAUGUUACAAAAAACACACUAGAAGCUUCAUUCCUCGUCACUCACAGAGCAUUUCAUCCUCCAUUAACCUCAUCAGCCAUCAGUAGCUAUGAUCAAUCUCUCCUUGUGAACCAACACCGUGAAAACCUUUAGAAGAAGCCAAAUCGCACAAUCCCAAAUCACGACACAAAACGCGAACCACCAAUAAUGCAAUCAACACAUCACCAUCAACGAACCUGACGUCUCCUCCAUAAUAAUCACUAGAACAUCAUAAAUCGCAAAUCCUAAAUUGCGCCUUCAUCUUCCUCUGCGAAACCAAAUCUGAGGGAGAAGAAAAAUUUGCUUACCUUCCUCCAACAGGAUUUGCUGCAGCAAUUACACAACAACGUGCUUGAAGAGAUGUAACAAUUCCAGCUUUUGAUAUGCUAAUACUCUACUGCUCCAUGGCUUCAUGGAUACUCACCCUGGUAACAAAUACAUAACUUAGUCUGUCAAGGAUAAGUAGUAAGGGUGAAGAUUAAUAAUGAAAUUAAAAAAUUUCAAGCAAUUGUAGCAAACUAUUUCCUAACCUAUCUUGGUCAUUUAUUUUGUCAAACUCGUCAAUAAUACAAAUUCCUCUAUCGGCCAGAACAAGGACUCCUCCCUCAAGAGUCCACUCUCGUGUGAUUGGGUCCCUGUGAACAGUAACAUUUUGUGAGACCCACAGUUGAAGCCCCUUUUCUAGUAGUGUAUACAGCUCUUUGUCCAGUUUUUUCAACGUACCUUGAAGUACAUUUUGAAACGUUAAUUUAUUAAACACAGUUACCAGUAGACAGACAUCAACCAAAUAAACUUGAUAAAUUAUAUUUGAGAAAUUGAGACUUCGCUGUUCCUGGAUCACCUAGAACGAGAACAUUUAUGUCUCCUCGAAGUCGAUGCUUUCCUUCAACACUUUUUUCUCUGAUACAUACCUUUUCUCUGAUUCGAGGGUGUUUGGCCAAAUUUUCAAUGUCUGCAAUGUCUUCCUAUGUAAGCUUGAAUGCAGAAAAUAGGUUUUGCUUUUUCGUAACAUAAUUUGCCUCAACAAUAGUGGCAGAUACUGCAAACCCAUUCUUUGUGUUUCUGGCAACAAGUGCAGAAAGGAAAAUUGAGCUUAUUUAUCCUUUUGUCUUUCAAAUUUAAUGAGCAUGAAAUUAUUUUGCAACAUAUCAGUGGAUAAACAUCUAGUAACAAUUUGGCCCAACUGAAAUGAGGAUUAGUAUUCUGCAAGAUAUGAGCAUUCAAAUAUUUAGUUUAGACAUCCUCACUCUCAUCCUUUUCCUAAUUUGGAUACUGAAAGUAUGUACCUGUUCAAUGUUGACAGUAAAGGGUUUUGAUUUGGGGCUUUUCCUGAAUUUUUUGUGUUGUCUUGGUUGCAGGUUUGAAUCGAGACAACACGUAGAGAUUGGAGAGGUUGGAGUUUUAGAAUUCUUCAUGAUUUUGAGUUGUUGACGAAGGCACGACGUGAUGGUGAAGAAGAUGAUUUCGCCACUGCAAUUUGGGUUGCAAGUGAACUACUAGAGGAGGUGAUGGUUGCGCGAGGUGAUGGAGGCACUAUGCUAGGGUUUGGUGGAGGUGAAACUGUGGUGAUGGCAGCACUCGUGGUUCACGGUGGAACGAUGAAGUUGCUCAAGAUUCUGUGUGUUUAUGGUGGAUGUUGCGUCGCUUGCGGCAUUGGCUGCAAGAAAAGGAUAGGCAAAUGGCGUGAUUCAUUAUGUGGGUGUUGGCGGAGGAUGGUUGUCCAACGAGAUGAGUAUGGUGGUUGGCUGUGGCGGGGAGGAUGGUGGGGAAUGACACUGUUGCAGCGCCUAGCUUCACCUAAAAAAAUUUCACAUAAUAUAACACUGUUACAUCAACAUUUUAAGUGUACGCCACGUUAUGAUAGUUAGACAGCGUCAGUGAAAAUUUAACGAAAAGAACUUAAUUAACUCAAUUUUACAAGUAUAUGUACUCAAUUGAGACAAAAAAAAAAUUAAAACGAGGACCAACAUGUUUACCAACAAAUAUGAGGACCAACAUGUUUCAACAUUUUUUUCUAAUUAUGAGGAAAGAACUUGCUCAGUUUCCUAUCAGGUAUAGUAAUUGAUAUGAAAUAGGUGGAAACAAUACUUGAAAGCAAAUGUUUUAGCAAACAACUAUUAUCAUUCACUUAUUUAAUUUUAUUAUAAAAAUAUAAAUAAUUAUAACUGUUUUGGAUGGGAACCAAGACACCGAUCGCCUAUGGAUUACGAUGACAUGCUGGACUUCUUUAACUAAGUGUUUCAGGAUUCUUAUCUCUCCUUACCUGAACGGCUGCAACCUGCAAGUUAGCACUCCGACGAUCAAGUCAGCAAGGCUACAGCUAUAUUAUCAAAGUAAUGAGUAAAAAUCCAACCCUUUACCUGACUGCUUACUNNNNNNNNNNNNNNNNNNNNNNNNNNNNNNNNNNNNNNNNNNNNNNNNNNNNNNNNNNNNNNNNNNNNNNNNNNNNNNNNNNNNNNNNNNNNNNNNNNNNNNNNNNNNNNNNNNNNNNNNNNNNNNNNNNNNNNNNNNNNNNNNNNNNNNNNNNNNNNNNNNNNNNNNNNNNNNNNNNNNNNNNNNNNNNNNNNNNNNNNNNNNNNNNNNNNNNNNNNNNNNNNNNNNNNNNNNNNNNNNNNNNNNNNNNNNNNNNNNNNNNNNNNNNNNNNNNNNNNNNNNNNNNNNNNNNNNNNNNNNNNNNNNNNNNNNNNNNNNNNNNNNNNNNNNNNNNNNNNNNNNNNNNNNNNNNNNNNNNNNNNNNNNNNNNNNNNNNNNNNNGAACCCGAUCACAUUGCCGGUAUGACCGAUCAUACUACCGGUGUGACCGAUCAUUCCAAUAUGGUCGGUUACCCCAUCGUACAUAGGCCCCCCAAGCCCCAAGCGUUUGCCAAACGCGAAGGGGUUUGCAAGUUUUAGUUUCCCGCUAAUAUUUGAAUUUGAAGAUGCAAACCACCUGAGCCCUACGAUGAGCAUGAGACCAACAGUGUAGAUUGAUUCGUCAGUUUUCCGCAUAGAAAUUCGAACCGUCGUAAGCUUAGCACCGUCAGAUCAUAUUGUCAUGAACGACUGGGAUUGUAUUUCGAAACCGCUUUCUGCGGCUAUAAAUAGCGAGGUGGUCCCUGCUCAUUUGUGUGCUUCUGCGUUGCUCUGCUUGCGCUUCCCGACCCAACUCUCUGUCAGCUCGAUCGUCCUUCCAGGUACAUGUCUCUAUCUUCUCAAUCAUCUAAUAGGUCUAGGAGGGAAGGGUGGGGGUAUGAUGACGAUGGGGGAAGCACCCCUUCGUCAUCUGGGUCUAGUUCCGAUACUUCUUCCCGUUCGUCCGGGAAUAGCGUAGCUUUUAAUUAUGACAAUUCACGUAUGUGGACAUCCGUCCUUCCUCCGCCCGUAGUACAAGGAUACGACUGGGCUCCUCAUGAGGUUAAGAACUAUACCCCAUACUUUAUUUCUACCGCCUCCCUUAGGAAUUUGCUAGAGAAAGUAAAUAUCUUAGGUACUCUUAGGGACAUAGAUGAUUACACGUUCGUAGUUUGCCGAACUAAUAAGCGAGCCUGUCAUGGCCGAGAGGGUUUUCCGACCGAUUUCUUCUAUGCAUAUAUUACCUUAUUUCGCGAUCUGGGCGUUAGGUUACCCUUCUCUGAGUUUCAAAUGGGAGUGUUGAGAGAGCUGAACAUUAGUCCCGUUCAGCUUCACCCGAACGGGUGGGCUGUCAUGCAAGCCUUCACCGUGUUGUGUGAUGGCCUGGUACUCACACCAACACCGAAAGCUUUUCUUCAUUUCUUUCGUGCCCUACCCAACCCCAACCGAUCCUGGAUAUCUUUAAUUCCUGCAAAGGAUAAACAAUUAUUUUCUCCUUUCAAUUCCUCAUAUAAGGAAUUUAAGUCCAACUUCUGCAAAAUAGCCAUCCGAGAUACCGGUCGGUCAAAAUACUUUUUUGACAAUGGCCAACCAAAAUCCCAACAGAGUAGACUCCUGGCCGAAAACAGAUAUGACCGAAGCUGAACUGGAUGUGAUAAGCCANGUUGACUUAUUACCAAGAAAGACCUCGUCCCGUAGAUUAAUUGAACUGAUCGGGGCAGAUGACGACACCUUAAGGAGUAGAGUAUUCGGUAAGAUUCUGUACCCUUCCUAUGACCGAACGGUUCUUAUUAACUUGUCUAAAUUGCCUUCUGUAUUGCAGAUUUGUUCAGCGGGAUGGAGCAACACGAAGCUUUUGCGCGCCUGAUGGCCCGUAAGAAAAAAUUGGUGAAGGCUGGAGAAGGAACAUCAAUGGCUUCACCUGUCGGUGGAUCAACUUGAGGUGUUCCUCCUAUUACCGAUCUUGAAGCUGCGGAAGAUGUGAAGGUGGUUCAACCACCCCCAAAAAAGACCAAGCAGAAAAGGAAAGCAAGUGAAAAAACUCCCUCUCCCCCGAAAAGACAAAAGGUGAAGGGUCCCUUGCUGACCGGCCCAUUAGAUCCGAAAGUGCAUGUAGCCGAUCGAGUUCAGUUCAACCUGACCCCUGAAGAACGAGCCCCUUUCAAAAACAUGACCCCUAGUGAAGCGUACAACAUGGGUUAUGAGCUUAUGAUGCGCGCAGGCGUAUGCAUGAAUUACGCUGCUGGGACCACUAAGCCUUUAGUAGUGGUCGAAUUGGAAGCCGCUAAUCAGAAAGUGGCUGAUCUAAAGAAAGAUAACGAUGCUCUAACCGCUCGUGUGGAAGAACUGACUAAAUCUGCUGAGGAUGCUCGGGUUAAAGCUAAGACUGCCUUGGAGAAUUCUCAGAAGGAAAUAUCAUCCUUGCGAUCGUCCAUUGAUACACUGGAAGCUACUGUGAAAAAGGUUAAGACAACCAAUGCUGAACUGCUGAAGGAUAAGGAUGCUGUUACUGCCGAGCGAGACCUCUUGUUGGCAGAGAAAGCGUCUUUGGAAGACCAAGUUUGUCAAGAGCGUGAAUUAGGGUUUCAACAAGGAAUAGGGCAAUGUCANCAUUUUUUCAACACUCCACUUGAGCAUCCAGAUUUUGACAUACUGAAGGUGUUAGUGAAUGGGGCUCUCGUUGAUCUUUGCGGUUCGGCUUCUCCGGCUACCGAACAUACUCCACCCGACCAGUCAAUUGUUGCACCUGACAACACUAAGCCCCUUUAAGCAAAUGUUUUAAGUACUGCUGUAAAAAACUCUGUUACCUCGACCGUGUGUAUGCCUUUUGUAUGGAUCGUAACUGCCAGUAGUUAAGUACUUAAACAAUUGUGUGCAAUUGCGUUUUGUAUGAAGUACCAUGUUGCCUUCUAUGUUACUCUGUUUGCUACUGCUUUGUUAUUCGGUUGUCGAGAUUUAAGAAUUGCUAAGUAUGACUGAAAGUAACUUAGCUGAUUUUCAUAAAUUUCUCUUUUCUUCUCGCCCGAUCGGGGACCAAUUAUAUGAAUUACAAACAAUGAAGUUAAUUAUCUAACUUCACCCGUUCCCUCCUUCGGAUCACCCGAUCGGAAGUCAAUUAUCUGACUUACAAACAAUGAAGUUAAUUAUCUAACUUCACUCGUUCCCUCCUUCGGAUNNNNNNNNNNNNNNNNNNNNNNNNNNNNNNNNNNNNNNNNNNNNNNNNNNNNNNNNNNNNNNNNNNNNNNNNNNNNNNNNNNNNNNNNNNNNNNNNNNNNNNNNNNNNNNNNNNNNNNNNNNNNNNNNNNNNNNNNNNNNNNNNNNNNNNNNNNNNNNNNNNNNNNNNNNNNNNNNNNNNNNNNNNNNNNNNNNNNNNNNNNNNNNNNNNNNNNNNNNNNNNNNNNNNNNNNNNNNNNNNNNNNNNNNNNNNNNNUAAUUAUCUAACUUCACUCGUUCCCUCCUUCGGAUCACCCGAUCGGAAGUCAAUUAUCUGACUUACAAACAAUGAAGUUAAUUAUCUAACUUCACCCGUUCCCCCUUUUGGAUUACCCGAUCGGAAGUCAAUUAUCUGACUUACACACAAUGAAGUUAAUUAUCUAACUUCACCUGUUCCCCCCUUCGGAUCACCCGAUCAGAAUUUCAAAAUUAUAAAAUAGUGGAAAGAUUGCCUUUAUUCAAGAGAAGAUGUCCCUCAUGGGAUAAUUACAUGAAAAUUAACUAAAAUAAAAUUUCAAGUGGGAAAUGUUCCAAGUAUUGGGAACAACUUUGCCACUUAAGGUUUCCAACCGGUAGGCUCCGUUAUGAAGACUUUCCUUUAUUUUGAAGGGGCCUUCCCAAUUGGCCGAUAGCUUCCCAUGUGUAGGGUCUUUCCUGGCCUCUCCCGUUCGUCUCCAUACCAAAUCUCCCUCAAUAAACUGCCUAGGUUUAACCUUGGUGUUGUAACGUCGGGCAAUGAGUCUUUUGUGGGCUUCGAGUUGAACGGCCGCCAUAUGUCUCCGCUCGGGGAGAAUAUCAAGAUUACUCUUGAGGUGUUCCUCAUUUUGUUCCAAGUUAUCAAUACUUCGUCAUAGUGCAUUCUCUCCAACCUCGACCGGUAACAUUGCAUCCGACCCAUAAGUAAGGUUAAAUGGCGACUCUCCGGUGGCACUAUGUGGGCAGCAUCGAUAUCCCCAAAGUACUUGUUGCAACUCGUCCACCCAUGCUCCCUUGGCCUCUCCUAGUUUUUUCUUUAACUCUUGGACGAUAACCUUAUUCAUGGCCUCAGCUUGGCCGUUCGUUUGGGGAUGCUCAACCGAGCUGGUCAGAGGGGUAAUGUCCAAUUCCUUAUAAAAAGCUACCAAUUUCUUGUCGAUGAAUUGCCGACCGUUAUCAGUGAUAACAUAUUUAGGUAAACCGAACCUACAAAUUAGUUUCCAAACGAACUUUUGUACCUGCGAUGCUGAUAUAUUAGCGAGAGGUUCGGCUUCCACCCAUUUUGUGAAAUAAUCAACUGCAACUAGGAGGAAUUUUAGCUGAGAACGUCCGGUCGAGAAUGGUCCUACUAUGUCCAUUCCCCAUUGAGCAAACGGCCAUGGGGAUACUAUACCUGUCAGGGCAACUGCCGGUGUAUGGAUUAUGUUCCCGUGCUUCUGACAGGCCAAACACUUAGCGACGAAGACUUGGCAAUCCUUUUCCAUAGUUGGCCAGUAGAAUCCUGCUCUCAAAGCUCGGGCUCGCAAUGACUGUCCGCCACCAUGUCUGCCACAAAUCCCCUCAUGCAGCUCGCGCAUAACAUAAUCGGAUUCUUCCUUGGAUAGACACUUUAACAUCGGGGUGACAUAUCCCCUUCUGUAUAGUUCCUCGCCGAUGAUGACAUAUCUUGCAAUUUGCUUUGCUUCUUCCGCCCGAAUGACGAUCCCCUCUUCCUGCCGUUGGAUUAACAGGGAAUCUCUCGUCGCCAAUCGUCUCGGUCGGAAGUGCUGGAUAUAUGGAGACAGUCAAUUGUAGGUUUGAAAAUUAUCUGUCUGACUAGGGAUGACAACUGACCCUUCUUUUUGCCGGUCGUCAGCUUGGAUAGUCUGUCCGCCCGGUGAUUCUCGUUUCUUGGUAUAUGCUGUAUUUCCAGUGAUUCGGAAUAAGACACAAGUUGUUUGGCUUUGUGGAAAUACCUAAGCAACUGAUUGUCUUUAAUUUGAAACGUGUCGUUCAUGUGCCCCUCCACUAGCUGAGAAUCAGUUUUACAUUGAAGCACUUUAACGCCUAGAUCUCGUGCUAAUUCCAAUCCCGCAAUCAAGGCUUCAUAUUCUGCUUGAUUAUUGCUAACCUUAAACCGGAAGAUUAAAGCUUGCUCAAUGGCUACCCCGUUCGGUCCCUCCAAAACUAUCCCCGCUCCUCCUCCUCGAUAACCGGAGGACCCGUCCACGUACAGUACCCAUGAACGCCGAUUAGUAUCACUCCCGGGCAAUUCAGCCGCAAAAUCUGCCAAAUGCUGUCCUUUCACCGAUCCUCUUGGUUCGUAUCUCAAUCCGAACUCAGAUAGCUCAAUGGACCAACCGAUCAUCCUUCCCGCAAGGUCCGGUUUACGCAGAAUCUUCGAAAUGGGAUGAUCGGUUCGAACCACUACCUGGUUUCCUUGUAGAUAUGGGCGGAGUCUUCUGGUGGCAAUGACCAAUGCCAGAACUAUCUUUUCUAGCUGUUGAUAUCGUGUCUCCGGUUCUUUUAACACUCUGCUAACAAAGUAUAUAGGCCGGAACUCUGGGGUUUCCUGGACCAACGCUGCACUGACAGCCUCUUCUCCGACUGCCAAAAAUAAAUGCAAAUCAUGACCGUAAUCAGGACGUCUCAUGACCGGCGGAUUAGUGAGUAUUUGUUUUACUUCAUUGAAUGCCAUCUCACACCGCUCAUCCCAUUCCCCUGGCGUCUGCUUUUUCAUUACCUUCAAAAUUGGCUGGAUACGAUCGGCCAAUUUGGGUAUGAACCUGGAUAAAGACGUUAGUCUGCCCACUAACCUCUGUACCUCUUUUAGAUUACUGGGACUUCGCAUUUCUAAAAUCGUCCGGCAUUUAUCUGGAUUUGCCUCAAUGCCUCGCGUUGUCAACAUGAAUCCCAAAAAUUUGCCUGCUGCGACACCGAACGUGCACUUAAGAGGGUUCAAUCUCAUGCCAAACUUUCGUACCUGGUGGAGAACUUCUUCUAGGUCUUGCAGGUGUUCCUCCACCGACCGGCUCCUCACCACCAUGUCAUCAACAUAUACUUCCAUACAUUUCCCUAUUUGGUUCUGGAACACCUUAUCCAUCAACCUUUGAUAAGUUGCUCUUGCAUUCUUUAGUCCGAACGGCAUCACCUCAUAGCAAUAGUUUGACCGCUCUGUUAUGAAAGCUGUUUUUUCUUGAUCUGGCCGGUACAUUGGGAUCUGAUUGUAUCCCGAAUAAGCAUCCAAAAAACUCAAAAUUUCAUACCCAGAAACUCCGUCCACCAAUCCAUCUAUGCUCGGGAGGGGGUAUGUGUCUUUUGGACAUGCUUUGUUGAGAUCAGUGAAGUCUGUGCACAUUCUCCAUUUUCCGUUCGGUUUUUUCACCAUGACCACAUUAGACAGCCAUGUGGUAUAUUUUACUUCCCUUAUAAAGCCUGCUUCCAACAACUUAGCCACCUCGUCGUCCACUGCCCUUCUCUUUUCAUGUGACCAAGUGCUUUUACCAAAGAAAAUUGAAAUUGCAAAUGGCCUAGAACACUUGGCCGAGACUCUAUGCUGCACCAAUUGCUAUCAAAUUAAAUGUGCUUCCACCGUUUCAAUGAAAAAGGUAAAUUAAAAAUGCAAUGAGUGGAUUGUUGCUGCCAUAGAUUCAAUUGCAUCCAUGUGCGGUUUCUAUUUGAAUCAACGCUGCUGGACCGUUUUUGAAAGCAAGGAAAUGAAUAAUUGCAUGCUUAAUAAAAAAAUUGCAUUAACCAAAUGAAGCUUCAUGGAUAAACAUCAGCUAUAACAAGUAUUUCUGCUGCCACCGUGAUGAAUUAGCAUUUGAUGGCAAUGAAUGAAAGUAAAAAAAAAAAAGAAAUCACCGUGUGCUGUUACUUGAAUCAAAGUUUUCCUAACUGUAUGAUGGCAAGUCGUGAAGCUGUGUGUUUCCCAUUAAUCACGCUCUUCCAAAUAAAAGAAAACAUAUGUCCUUCUAACAUUUAUCCACAAUCCAAGACAGCAAACAUGGUUCCCAUCAAAGCUCCCUAGAAAAAAAUGUUCCAGGCCAAGAAGAAGUAAAGAGUAAGUGGCGGCCGGUAGGAAUCUCCCUAGGGUUCUGUGCUUCUUCAACCUCAGGACAGGACCGUGUGCACCUCCAUGAUUGCUGGACACACCUCCACUUGCUCAUGGGCCAUAAUUGCUCCAAGCACACAUUUCUUCCUAGCUGGACCGUGGAGGCUGCUGCCUCAAUUUGGGCCGUCUAAGUGCAUGGGCUGCAUCUCCAAUCUUAAAAGAAAUUAAAUGUUGCCGUGACCAUGGUGUGUGCAUGGAAGUAUGGCAGCUCUUGCUGGAUUCUUCUCUUUUCCAAUUGAACUCCACGGUGGUGGCAGCUUACAUAACUUCAAGUUAAAUCACCAAGCUGCUGUGUGCACCCCACUUUUUCAAUGUUUGCACCCCUUUUCAUAAGCCAAGGAAUAGAAUGACCAUAGUACCCUCCUUCUUGAACACACUUGUUUUAUGGAGAGUCUAGAAUUAUGUGACAAUUCUCAAUAUGUCCAAAAUUAUAUUUCCAAAAUUUUCCCUGCAAAUAAUAAUGCAAAUAAUUAGCUCAGAAAAUUCAAAUUAAUUAAAAUUCGAAUUUCCGGUCAAAUUAAGCACAAUUAGUAGAAACGGGAAAAUACCGGACAUUUAAACACAAUUCCCUGAUUAAUUUCGGUACAAUAAACUAAGUGCAGUCAAUAAAAUAUCGACUCAUCACCCAACCUCCGCUUCCUCUGUGACACGGGCCGGGCAUCUCUUAUUAGUGACAGUUUAUGAGAAAUAAUGUCAGGAUGAAUUCCUGGCAUGUCAGCCGCUGUCCACGCGAACAGGUCUUUAUUUUGUAUAAGAAGUUCUUCAAUUAGCGUAGCUUGAUCGGUACUGAGGUUACGCCCAAUGGUUGUGCAUUGGUCUUCCCGUUCUCCGAUGACUAAAGGACGCAUAUCACCUAAAGGCUCUACUCGUUCGUCCAAAUGGGUUCGGGGGUCUAAUUCCAUCAUGGCAACUUCUGAUUGAGUAGCUCGAAAAGCCGUCGGUCGGGGCUUUACUUUUAAGCCUGCUGCAUAACAUUCUCGAGCCAUCUUCUGAUCGACCCGAACAGUGCAUACUUGCCCAUCAUCGGCAAGAUACUUCAAAGUCAGAUGCGGAGUCGAGACAAUAGCCCCGAACAUGUUCAAACACGGUCGUCCAAGGAGAACGUUAUAUGACGUGUCGGCCUCCACUAACAAGAAACGCACCUUUACUUCUUUGGCCUUCUUGUCAGCUCCCAGACUAGUCCUCAAGUCUACAUACCCUUUUGUGUCCACCCUUUCCCAGCAAACCCCACAAUUUGCUCAUUGAAAGGCAUGAUAGCAUCCUCUGAUAUCUCCAUUUGCUUGAAUGUCUUCCAGUAGAGGAUAUUGGCUGAACUGCCUUGAUCUACAAGAACUUUGCUGACUUGGUAUCUAGCAAUCAUGGCCGUUAUGACCAUCGGGUCAUCUUGCUCCAGAUCAGGUGCAUGAAAAUCUUCAUCUGUGAAUGUGAUAGCUGGCAUAGAUCUCCUGGACGAGCCCGAUCGGUUGGAACUAUGCAAAUUUCUGAGGUGCCUCUUUCUGGCUGCUGAUGUUGAACCGCCGCCUGCAAAUCCUCCAGAAAUCGUGUUGAUUACUCCCCUGACAACCCGUUCGGCACUCCUGCUUCUACUCCGAUCGGUUCUUUGCUGACUUCUCACUUGCGGGUUUCGUUGAGUUGUUGGUGGCCUGAUUCUCCCCGUCGACCCUCUUCUCUGGACGAACCUUUGCAAAUGUCCCGCCUGAACGAGGGCUUCUAACUUGUCUUUUAACGUGAUACAAUCUUCUGUGGUGUGUCCACGAUUUUGAUGAUACCGACAAUGCUUGCUUUCGUCAGCUCUAGCCGGUGUAGGUACUUGCACAACUGCUAUUAGAUCCGCCCUUAACGCCUCCUCCAACACUCUCGUUCGGGGUGCAUUUAAUGGAGUGUGAUGUAUGUACCUCUGCAUCCUGCUUCGAUCCUUGCCUCUGAGACCUGCUCCUCUGUCUCUUCUACUGACCGGAUGUUCAAUCCCUCCACGUACUGCACGAACUGAUGACUCGCCGUCGUCUCUACCUCGGUGGUGGGCUCUUCCUUCUUCUAUCCGAAUGAAGCUGGCAAGUCUAUUUUGCAACUCAUCCAUGCUUUGUGGCUCUUCAGCAUGCAAAUAGUCACAAAAUGGUCCUGGCCUUAAGGCGGUGGUCAACGCACUCACAAUCAAUCUCUGGUCUGCGUUUCGUACCUGCCGAGCGGUGCGGCUGAACCGAUCCAUGAAUGAUUUAAGGGACUCGUCGCGUCCCUGUCUCAGCCUGACUAGCGCUGUAUACGUCAUCCCGGGCGUUUUGUUUGCAGCGUAUUGUUGAGUAAAUAAUUGCCUGAGUUCAGCAAAAUUACCGAUCGUGCCUGGUUGCAAAGAGUGAAACCAAUCUAACGCCUCUUCUUUGAGAGAAAAAGAGAACACCCGACACCAUACCAACUCAUCCGAUGAGUAUACUGCCAUUGCGUCUACAAAAGAUCACAAAUGUUUGACAGGAUCAGACGCUCCUCCGUAUCUUUCAAUUGUAGGCAAGACCUUGUUUUCGGGUAUGACCGCUCUCAUCACCCUUGUUGUGAAGGGGUGUAGACCCUCAGCCUGAUCGGUUUGUUCCUGCUCUCGUCUUGGGGUUUGUUCUCGUUCUCGCCUUGGAGUCUGCUGUCUCUCUUCCAUGUGAGGAAUUUCACCUCUGCCAUUACCUCGACCACCCCCAUGUCCUCUUCCCCUACUCCCAACCCUGCUUCCCGGCCUUCCUUCACCCCGACCUACUCCUUGGCCGUUAACUCCUCCAACUCCUUCGCUAGGCAUAGGGUUGUGAUUCUCCUGUCGUUCCUCUCCUUGGAUAUGAGGUUGUUCCCCGGUGUCUGAGUGAUAUGUCUCCACAUUGACAGAGCGGUCGGAAUGACCUCCUACCCUGUUCGCUUGCUCCGCCCUCAAUGUUUCAAUUUCUGCCCUCAUUUCCUGAAUCUGUCGCUGCAGAUCUUGCAAUAACUGCAAAGGUACUUCUCCUGCCAUCGUGGUCGUUUCUAGGUCGUAAAAGAGAAUCUCGGGCCCCACGGUGGGCGCCAAAAUGUUUUGGAUGGGAACCAAGACACCGAUCGCCUAUGGAUUACGAUGACACGCUGGACUUCUUUAACUAAGUGUUUCAGGAUUCUUAUCUCUCCUUACCCGAACGGCUGCAACCUGCAAGUUAGCACUCCGACGAUCAAGUCAACAAGGCUACAGCUAUAUUAUCAAAGUAAUGAGUAAAAAUCCAACCCUUUACCUGACUGCUUACUCUCCUAUUUAUAGGUGAUAAGUUUGGNNNNNNNNNNNNNNNNNNNNNNNNNNNNNNNNNNNNNNNNNNNNNNNNNNNNNNNNNNNNNNNNNNNNNNNNNNNNNNNNNNNNNNNNNNNNNNNNNNNNNNNNNNNNNNNNNNNNNNNNNNNNNNNNNNNNNNNNNNNNNNNNNNNNNNNNNNNNNNNNNNNNNNNNNNNNNNNNNNNNNNNNNNNNNNNNNNNNNNNNNNNNNNNNNNNNNNNNNNNNNNNNNNNNNNNNNNNNNNNNNNNNNNNNNNNNNNNNNNNNNNNNNNNNNNNNNNNNNNNNNNNNNNNNNNNNNNNNNNNNNNNNNNNNNNNNNNNNNNNNNNNNNNNNNNNNNNNNNNNNNNNNNNNNNNNNNNNNNNNNNNNNNNNNNNNNNNNNNNNNNNNNNNNNNNNNNNNNNNNNNNNNNNNNNNNNNNNNNNNNNNNNNGAACCCGAUCACAUUGCCGGUAUGACCGAUCAUACUACCGGUGUGACCGAUCAUUCCAAUAUGGUCGGUUACCCCAUCGUACAUAGGCCCCCCAAACUAAAAUAAUUAUUCUCAUAAAUUUACGUUUUUAUUACAUGACAAGCAGUCAAAGUAUGAUAUAUACAAAGUGCAUGAUUUUCUAACACUUCUAAAAAAUUAAAGCUCUAAUAUUUUUAUUUACUCACCGAAGAUUGUUCACAGGAGAGACACAUUCACUUUAGAAUUAUUGAAAAUAAGUAUCGACACGGCUUUUGUCAAUCGAAAACAUUAAUAUUUUUUGGAUAGCUUCUGUACUGGGACCCUGGACGGUCGUGAACGGGCGUCUCCCAUUGGCACAGUGGAACGGACAGUCAAUACAAGAAAGCACGAGAUUGACACAAUAAAUUAGAUUAAGGUAAGUUAGGAUUAAGGAUUAUUAGAUCAUGAUUGGGUCUCGAUUAAGGUUUCACUAACCCCAAGCCCAUAACUAUCACUAUAUAUAGAGGUCAAAGGUAAGAGGUAAGGGGAUUCAUUUAUUGCGCAUUUAAUACUGAGUUCUGAUUACCGAACGGACUUGAGAAUUAACUUAAGCAUUGGAGUGUCUUUAACAUAUAUCCUCCCAAGCGGACUUUGGUAGAAGUGGACUGACGAGUUAGGAAUGAACGAGAAGAGGACGGUCGGCCGAGGAGUAAAAUUAUGAAAGGUUUGUGUAGCUCGACCUCACACCGGAACAGCUUCCCAAUAUAAAGGUAACAAUUAGAUUUUCAUAUUUCCAACCAAAUUUCUAGAACUAAAUCCUGCUAUAAGUGCCUCUUUGAAAGAAACCGUUCUUGAAAGAAAAUAGAAUACUUCUUUGAAUGUAAUAUGAUACCAGGUAUUCCAUUCCUUAACUAUUUUGGGAUUUUUUUCUCUGACAUAGCACGGAUUCUCUUUACAAUUACCAAAAUAGCAUAUUGUACGUUUUAUUUACCUGAAUAUCACACUUUUUUGUUAGGUUAGAAUUUGGUUUCUCAAAAACUGAAUUCUGAGUUAUAAUUUUUUUUUUCUUUAUAAUGUUAGGUUAUAAUUUCGUUUAUUGGAAACCGAAUUCUGAUUUUAUAUAUAUAUAUAUAUAUAUAUAUAUAUAUAUAUAUAUNNNNNNNNNNNNNNNNNNNNNNNNNNNNNNNNNNNNNNNNNNNNNNNNNNAUAUAUAUAUAUAUAUAUAUAUAUAUAUAUAUAUAUAUAUAUAUAUAUAUAUAUAUAUAUAUAUAUAUAUAUAUAUAUAUAUAUUUUAAUCUUAAGUUAGAAUUGGGAAACCGAAUUCUGAAUUAUAUAUUUUAUUUUUUUUAUAAUUAUAUAUUAGAAUUUGGUUUUUAGGAAACUGAAUUCUAAGUUUUUUUUUUUUUAAUUUUAGGUUAUAAUUUUGUUUGAAUUUUUUUUUAAGAUUUUUAUUUUUUAAGUAUUUAUAGAAAAGCACCUAAAACACCUUUCUUUUCAACAAUUCAAUUGCCUAUGUGUUUAUUGGUAUACUAAACACCACUUAUGACCAUUAAACUCACUCACUCAUCUAAAAUAAGAAACAUGAAACAAUAACUUCAAAGUAAACGUAUUUAGGAAGCUUAGAAAAAUGUUUUUUUUGGAAAAUUAACUGCAUUAGUAUAGUGGUCUAAAAAUUAUGGGUUGAUAUUCAUUUGAAAGCUCUUUGAGUCUAGAUUCCAACAAAAUAAAAAUCAACGCAUUUGGAGUUCGGUGGAGAAAGUUACGAGUAAAACAACCACCAAAGGUCAGAGUUGGCAGGAAUAUAUAAAGCCUUAACUUUAAGGAAUUAAAUGCACCUACUCAGAUGUCCAAAAUUACAAAUUAGUAGUCAUUGAAAAGCUUAUUGAUUCUAGUUUCUAAUAAAAAAAGAAUGACAUCAUUUAGAGGUCGGUGGGAAAAGUUAUCAUUAAAAUAGUCAGCAAAUUAACUUGGUCAUGACACCAAUAUUGGGUCUUUCCUCCACCAAGUACUGCCCACAACCCAAUUUUCAGGAUAUACUCACACUUAAUGAUUAAAAAGAACUCUCAUCCAUUCAAGAAAUAUGAAAAAUUAAGUAAAAUGUCUUUCGCUACUUAUGUGCCCACAACUGGUUCCUACAGUACAAGUUUUUGUACAAAACCAGAUUUUUUUUCGUGUAAUAGUUUACAGGGUCCUUGUAAUCGAUUACAAUGGUCAAAUCGGCUUAAACUUGAUUAGGAAGGAAUUAACUCCACCUAUUCAUAUGUCCAAAAAUUACAAAUUAGUAGUCAUUGGAAAGUUUAUUGAGUCUAGUAUUUUUUAUGAAUAAAGAAGUUUCUUAUGAAUAAUUUGGAAGUUGCAUAUGCUGAAGUGUUUUCUUUUUUGUUUUUUCUUAUACAGUGUUAUUUCUCUUCUUUUUUUUCGGUUUUGUUUUCUUUAAAUUGAAUGUGUUAUGGUUGUAUUAAGAAUUGUUUCAUGAUACAAAAUACUAAGUUAAUUCCACAUCCUUAAACUAUUCAGUGUUAUACAAAGGAACUAAAAUAAUUAAACUAGUAUUUUAAUUUUUUAUUAAAUUAAGUGUAAAUAAAGGGAAUAUAAAAUUAUGAUUAUAUGUUAAGAGUUGCUUAAAAUUCAAUCAUUGGAAUUAAAGUGGUAUCGUAUAUCCAAUAAAGCAAUUUAAGACACACUCAAUUAAGUUUUAGCAUAGUGGAUGCUUUUAAUGUCUUUUGUUUUCCGCUCACAUAUCUGGAUUACUAUCUAAUUUUGUGAAGGAAGUUUCAAAAUUCAAAUAGGCAAGAUAAAACUAACAGAAGCCAUAUACAUCACAUCAUAAUCAUUUUUUUAUUCAUGAUAUCUUAUAUAAUUCCGAACAAAGAGAAAGAUACUGUAGGAUGAAAGAGUACAUGAUCACACAAUGCAGAAAUGCCUUAUUUAAUUUAAGGAUAGUAUUCAUGGCAUGAUAGUUUAGUUAACCCUAUUUAGCAUACCAAAGAAGAUGACCGUCAGGAAAGAAAUGACACAGGACUGGUCCCAGGCUUGACUUUGAGAACUUGCAUUGCCAUAUGGUCUGGAUUCCAUUCUGAUGUGUCUUUGUGGCACACUGCUAUGGCUUUAACCCUAGUUCCAUCUUCUCCCUCCAAUGGCAUAAAACGUGCAGUGCUAUUUGAUAUCUUAUGGCAGUAAAACACAACAUAUGGGUAAUUCAUUGGAUGACAUGCAAUUGUCUCUUCUUCUCCUAAAAUCUUCACUCCAUCUUUAACUAUGAACUCUUGGGACUUGCUUUCAAUUUCUACCUCUGUAGAAGUAACAUGGACGUUCUUGCCAAGUUUAGAAAUGACAAAGUCUACCAUGAUUCUACUGAGGUUGCACAGUGUUUUUCUUCACCAUUCAUUGUAGGUGCUUCACACAUCUCCAGAGAUUUCUCCACAUUCUUAGCAUUCAAUGACUCUGGCUUCACAGAAAAAAUUUCUAAUAUUUCAUUUAUCUUUUCUGAUGGGAAUGGUAUGUGUUCUGUAAUUUCGCGAGGUAACAACGGGGCUAAAUAUUUAAUUUUAGGAAAGAAAAUAUCAAAUUUUUCUACCCGCUUCAAUCCUUUUCGAAGAAAAAUACAAUUGAUUUAUCAAUUGAUCUAGAGUGAUCAUGAUGAUGAUGAUUAGCAACUGGAACUACCUCUCGAAGAACAACAUUUUCCUUUGAUUUAGGGUCAUAAGGUGUCUUAUCUCGUGAUGGAAUUUCUUUGCCAUCAUAUCGUGAUGGAAUUUCUUUGCCACCAUCUUGCAAUUCGAAUUUGUUGGAGGGCCAGGACCAUACAAAAUAGGGAUAUGGACGUUGUUCUGGUGAAAUCAUUUUAUCAUCAUCUUGCAAUUCGAAUUUGCUCGAGGGCCAGGACCAUACAAAAUGGGAUAUGCACGUUGUUCUGGUGAAAUCUUUUUAUCAUUAUCUUUCAAUUCGAAUUUGCUGGAGGGCCAGGACCAUACAAAAUAAGGAUAUGCACGUUGUUUUGGUGAAAUCUUUUUAUCACCAUCUUGCAAUUCAAAUUUACUGGAGGGUCAGGACCAUACAAAAUAGGGAUAUGCACGUUGUUCUGUUGAAAUCUUUUUAUCAUCAUCUUACAAUUCGAAUUUGCUGGAGGGCCAGGACCAUACAAAAUAGGGAUAUGCACGUUGUUCUGGUGAAAUCUUUUUAUCAUCAUCUUGCAAUUCGUAUUUGUUAGAGGGCGAGGACCAUAACGGAAAUUGUUCUGGUGAACCAGAAAUCUCUUUUUGUACUUUAAUCUCUUUGAAAUCUUUCAUACCAAAAAAGAAAACGUGAUGUUUAAUAUUAAAAGAAACAUAUAUAUGAAGUAAUUAAUAGUGGUGAAAUUAUAUUCUUUAAUUUCUCUACAUUUUAUUUUUCUUUUUCACUUAAAUCACUUUUUCAGAUUUUAUCAUGAGUAAUUUAGACAAAAUCAAAUUCAUGUCUUCCAUAAUUGUUUUUAUUUAAAAAGUUGAGCUUGGCUAUUUGAAAUUUUAAAUUGAACUAAUUAGUUUCCAAACUCUUUAAAUGUCGAGAGUAAAAGUUUACAUGACUAUUUGAGAGAUUAUUUGGAAAUCCAUAGUGACCAUAUGUAAAAUGUAUAAAUUUUAUUUUCAUAUAUUGAAAAAAAAAAAUAAUCAAGUGUUUUUAAAAUCAAAAUAAAAUAUAUAUUUUUUAAUUAUAAUGUUAUACAUAUAGUUUAUAUAAUUUAACUAGUAAACAUUUAUAUUUAUCUGAAUUGAAAAUUGUUACGGGUUGAAAAGUUAAAAUAAAUUUACAAAUUUAUUUUUACUGAAAAAAAAAAGAAUAUUUGCAACUAAAAUAGAAAAAGAAUGUAUAAGGACAAGACCUCUAUAGAAAAGACAAACAAAAUCACUUUUAAAACCAAAGAACACACAAAGACAAUUACGGACUCUAAUAAGACCCCUAAAACUUGAGACAAACACUGCAAACUCUAAUGUGACAAAGUCACACCUAAACCUGAAACACAAACAAAUACACUAAAAUUAAAGAAAGCAAUAAAAGCUGCCAAGAGUUGGAAAGAGCACUAAGAACUCUUCCAAUCUACUUAGACAGAUAACAUUAAACUUGUUUUAAGCUUUCUUUUAUCUUUUAAUUUUUAAGGCUUUUAGUUUGUUUUUGUCAAAAGACAUCAUUUUGACCUGUUUUGUUUUUUAGAGCUAAGCUCAAUACCUUUUUCAAGUAUGAUAAGCAUCAAGCAUUUAACUCCAACUCUCUUAGAUGUUUUAGGCACAAUAACGUUUAAUCCUACAUUUGGGUGUUUUAACCUUGAUGUUUUCCUAUUACCUAAGAACCUAAGUGUUUUCAUAAGCUUUUCUAUGUUGGAGAUUCAGGUUCUAAGUUUUAUGUAGGUUUUCUAUGUUGAGGAUUCAGGUUCUAAGUUUUGUAUUUUCAUCCUAAAUUAUUAUCCCGUUUAAUGUUAUUUAUGUUUAAUAUUUUUAUUUUUAUUUAAGUUAAAGUCCAUUAAUAGAGAAUGCUAAUUAAAAAAACUAACAAAUAUUAAAAAAGAAAAUUUAACAUAGGUUUAACAAAUAUUAACAAUAUUUAUUUUUAAUAUUUAUGUUUAUUUAAGUUUGCAUUCGUUAAGUUAAUAUUAACCAUUAAAAAAUUAAAAUAAAUAUUACAAAUAAAAAUAAAUAUAUAUAUUUUAAUUUUUGUGUUUUUCUUAUAUUAAUAUGGAAUAUUAAUAUGGAAUAUAGAUUCUAGGAGUUCUCUUUGGAAUUGUUCCCUAGACUGGGCAGAAAAUGCUAGGAGUUCUCUUUGGAGCUUUUUCCUGUGGAAGAUAUUUUCACCCCAAAAAGUAUGUCUUUAAAUAAAAUAAAGUAAACACUUCAAUAUUAUUAUAAAUAAAAUGGCAUCAGAACCUAACAAAGCCGAACGUAGGUGAUCUGAGUAAGAAGGGACUGAACCUGUUGAGUAGUCGACUGAUAGGAGUUCUUCUUCGAACUUUCUGCGUUGAGCGGGGAUUUCUGAAGCUAUUUUUCUUACUUCCCCCGAGCGGCUUGAGGCAAGAUUCAUUUUUCUGAGUUCCUGCAUUGAGCGGGGAUAUCUAAAGCUAUUUUUCUUACUUCCCCCGAGCGACUUAGGCAUGAGUCAUUUUUCUGAGUUCCUGCAUUGAGCGGGGAUUUCUAAAGCCAUUUUUCUGACUUCCCUCGAGCGGCUUGAGGCAAGAGUCAUUUUUCUGACUUGCUGCGUUGAGCGAGGAUUUCUGAAGCCAUUUUUCUGACUUCCCCCCGAUUGGCUUGAGGUAGGAGUCAUUUUUCUGACUUCCUACGUUGAGUGAGGAUUUCUGAAGCCAUUUUUCUGACUCCCCCCCGAGCGUUUGAGGCACGAGUCAAUCUUCUGACUUCCUACAUUGAGCGGGGAUUUCUAAAGCCAUUUUUUCUGACUUUCCCCUAAGCGGCUUGAGGCAGGUGUUAGUUUUCUGACUUCCUCCGUUGAGCGGGGAUUUCUGAAGCCAUUUUUCUUAUUUCCCCCCGAGCGGCUUGAGGCACAAGUCAUUUUUCUGACUUCCUGCGUUGAACGGGGAUUUCUGAAGCCAUUUUUCUGACUUCCCCCUGACCGGCUUGAGGCAGGAAUUAUUUUUCCGACUUCCUACGUUGAGCGGGAAUUUUUGAAGCCAUUUUUCUGAUUUCCCCUAGAACGGCUUGAGGCACGAGUCAUUUUCUUAACUUCCUAUGUGUAGCUGGAAUUUCUGAAGCUAUUUUUCUUACUUCGCCCGGAGCGACUUAAGGUAGGAGUUAUUUUUUUAACUUCCUUGAACAACAAGUUGUAGAUGAUUGAAUAUUCUUGUGCAAAACCUUUUCUCCCAAAAAACAUGUGUUAAAGCAAAAUAUUUUAUAAUCUAUUUUUAUAAUGACAUGACAUUAGAACUUGAUAAGGUUGAACGUUGGUUUGAACCUUUUCCUGUGCAGGAUAGUUUUACUCACAAAAUUAUGAGUUGAAUAAAAUAUUCAAAAUUUUAUUUUACAAUGAAAUGACACUAGAACUUGAAAAGGUUGAACGUAGGACUGAACCUUUCUUUGUAGGAUAUUUUUACUCACAAAAAUAUGCGUUAAAUAAAAUAUUCAAUAUUUUAUUUUUAUAAUGAGAUGACAUUAGAACCUAAUAAGAUUGAACGUGGAUAUGAAUCUUCCUGCACAUGAUAUUUUUAUUUAUAAAUAUAUGAGUUAAAUAAAAUAUUUAUUUUUAUAAUGAGAUAACAUUAGAACCUCAUAAGGUUGAAAGUUGGUCUGAACCUUCUGCACAAGAUAUUUUUACUCAUAAAAAUAUGAGUUAAAUAAAAUAUUUAUUUUUAUAAUGAGAUAACAUUAGAACUUGAUAAGGUUGAACGUUGAUCUGAACCUGCACAGGAUAUUUUUACUCCUAAAAAUAUGAGUUAAAUAAAAUAUUUAUUUUUAUAAUAAAAUAACAUUAGAACCUCAUAAGGUUGAACGCUUUUCUGAACCUUUCUGCACAUGAUAAUUUUACUCAUAAAAAUAUGAGUUAAAAAAAAAUAUUUAUUUUUAUAAUGAGAUAACAUUAGAUCUUGAUAAGGUUGAACGUUGUGCAGGAUAUUUUUACUCAUAAAAAUAUGUGUUAAAUAAAAUAUUUCACAUUUUAUUUUUACAAUGAGAUGACAUUAGAACCUGAUAAGGUUGAACAGUAAACUGAACCUUCCUGUGGAGGAUAUUUUUACUCACAAAAAUAUGAGUUAAACAAAAUAAAAUAAAUGCUUCAACAUAUUAUAAUUUAUAAAUUAUAAUAAAAAGUGGAACCAGAUUAGGUUGAAAGUUAAAUUGAACCUUCCUUUGGAGGAUAUUUUUAUUCACAAAAAGAUGAGUUAAACAAAAUAAAAAUUAUAAUUUAUAAAUUAUAAUAAAAAGUAUUGGAACCUGACAACAUAUAUGAUUGAACCUUCCUGAAAGUUCUCAAAACAAAAGACAUGCAUUUAGAAAUUAUUAUAAAUUUUUUUUCUCUUGUUGCAAAACCUGGUAUUAAUCUGAAGUAGCAACGUCAAGACCGUGGGUGCGUGUAGUUCUUCGUGGUUUCAUGGGGAUGUCGCUCGGCCCCACGUUGGCACCAAAAUGUUUUGGUUGAAUUUGUCCGAUGGUCGGUCGUCCUUCCUUGCUCUACUUCACUCUUCGAUCUUCCCAUCCUCUUCAAAUACGCAAUCCACUCUGAUGGGAUGUUGACCUACAGAAGACACUUUGAGACUCAAGUCAGAUAUGUUUCAUAAGGAGGUCUAUAUUUUAUUAGGAUAGAAGAUGAUGUCUUUACCUGAACAUCGAUCGUAUAUUUAUAGGGCUUGUGACAGCCAAACACGUUGAUUAACCAUUAACGCAAUAUAUUUUUAGGCAAUCAAACCCAAUAAUUAACCAUUAAUAUUGUAUAUUUGUAAAGAGUAAGGCAAUCUCACCCAUUAAUACAUGAUAAUUGUCCAUGAAUGGCCAUUAACUCUAACCAGUAUAAUACAUAAUGGCGCUCGGCCUCGCGGUGCGCGCCAAAAUGUUUCGGUUGAAUUUGUCAGAUGGUCGGUCGUCCUUCCUGGCUCUACUUCAUGCUUCGAUCUUCCCAUCCUCUUCAAGAACGCAAUCCACUCUUAUGGGAUGUUAACCUGUAGAAGACACUCGUUCAAGUCAGAUAUGUUUCAUAGAGAGGUCUAUAUUUUAUUAGGAUAAAAGAUGAUGUCUUUAACUGAACAUCCAUUGUAUAUUUAUAGAGCUUGUAGCAGACAAGCAUGUUGAUUAACCGUUAACGCGAUAUAUUUUUAGGUAAUCAAACCAAAUAAUUAACCACUAAUACCAUAUAUUUGUGAAGUGUAAGGCAAUCUCACCCAUUAAUACUUGAUAAUUGUCCAUGAAUAACUAUUAAUUCCGAUCGGUAUAAUAUAUAUAUAUAUAUAUAUAUAUAUAUAUAUAUUAUUGACCAUUAUUAUAAAUUAUGCACUAAACGUAGACAUAUGGAUACAAUUCAUGCUAGAUAAUAUUUAGUCAUCAUAAUCCAUUAUCCAUUGUACUUUACACGCAUGUCAUAAAUAGAUAAUAUUUAGUCAUAGGAUCUAUUUUAAAAAUUCUAUUUAUGUUUUAAAAUAAAAUUUUUUGGGUUCACUAAUUAUCUUAUUAACAACAGUACUUAAAUUCAUAUUUUAUAUUUUAUAACUUUAUGAGAAAAAAUAUUUUAGUUUAGAAGUUAAUUAUUAAUAUUUUUAUAAUAAAAUUAAAUAAAUGAAUGAUAAUAGUUGUUUGAUAAGAUAUUUGCUUUCAAUUAUUGUUUCCAUCUAUUUCAUAUCGUCUUUUACCCUGAUGAUUGGAAACUACCAAACUGUUUCCACAUAAUUCGAAAAAAAAAAUCAUAAAACGACAACUUAAGGUUGCGGACAGCUUCGAAAAGCAGUUGUCCUAAGAGUUAUUUAUCAAUCAUAUCGUAGUAUAUGUUUAAAAUAAAUGAUUUUCUAAAGUGUAAAAAUGAUUUUGUGAAGGAAAAAAGAAACUAUAAAAGAACUUGUGUUACACGACAACUACUUUUACUCAUGACGUGGACCGGCUCUAAUGCCAAGGCAAUCAUACAACUUCAAUACUUUAUGUGGAUUAAAGAAAAAGUAAAAGAAAGAUAAACAUUGUAUGGAUGAGAAAGUUAAAUUAAGGGUACAUACAAUAUAAUUGUACUGUCACACUCCUUGACAGUGUAACUAUAAGAAAAAAUUGCAUGUUCGAAUGUAAAAAAUAAAAAUAAAAAUAAAAAUAAAUAAAUAAACAAGUAAAUUAAGUCCCAUUUUUUGUAACUAAAGUAUAAAAUGGUUAACUUUACUUUUAAUUUAUUUUGCAAACACGCAAAAACAUUGUUUAAUGUUGGUUAUUUUGAGCUUUUAACGUCUAAUUUUAAACCGACGUCUAAAUCGGUGAUGUCAAUGGGACAUCCGACAUCCUAACCACAUAGAUUUAUAAUGAUGUCAGCUAGUGUCCACGAACAACGUCAAUAAACGUCGACACUAGUUUGAAUGGACGUCUAAAGGCACUAAUUAGACGUCGGAUAACGCAUUAACCGACGUCGAAGAGCACAUAUAGACGUCGAACAUGACAAAGACCGACAUCUAAAGUCCCUAUAGACGUCAGUUUUUGCAUUAACCGACGUCUAAUACAGUGGUUGUGUUUUAGUGCAGUUUUGUUCCC
rnacentral:lncRNA from 1 species